CCUACGGGGAGCAGCAGUGGGGAAUAUUGGGCAAUGGAGGAAACUCUGACCCAGCAACGCCGCGUGAAUGAUGAAGGUCCUCGGAUUGUAAAGUUCUUUUCUAAGGGAAGAAGAAAGUGACGGUACCUUAGGAAUAAGCCUCGGCUAACUACGUGCCAGCAGCCGCGGUAAUACGUAGGAGGCGAGCGUUCUCCGGAAUGACUGGGCGUAAAGGGUGCGUAGGUGGUUUGGCAAGUUAGUAGCGUAACUCCAAGGCUCAACCUUGGAACUACUACUAAAACUGUGUAACUGGAGUACAGGAGGGGCAGGCGGAAUUCCUGGUGUAGCGGUGAAAUGCGUAGAUAUCAGGAGGAACACCGGCGGCGAAGGCAGCCUGCUGGACUGAAACUGACGUUGAGGCUCGAAAGCGUGGGGAGCAAACAGGAUUAGAUACCCCUGUAGUC
rnacentral:rRNA from 1 species